rnacentral:tRNA from 1 species
AUCCGAGUAGUCUAAUUAAGAUUUUGAUUCGUGGUGUCAAAGAUAUUUUCAACAAUCUAGGAUU